GAGCAGGAGCCGCCGCUCUGGGCUCCGAGGCGCCUUCAAGGAGCGCGCGCUGGCAGCGCUCUAUUUUGCAGCCGGGGAUCCCGGUGGAGCCUUCGCCGUAUAGUACGAGCGAACGAACACGAGAGGCUGCCCGCCGGGGAGCUCGGGCUCUCGAAACAAAGGUCUGCGCGGUGCGAAGGGCGUUAAUGACGCCUGGCGCCCGGCGAGGCUGCCGCAUUUGUUCCCCGAGCGCCGCCGCCUUACAGCCCGCCCCGCCGUAGGGGAUACCGGCGUGCAAAGCGCUGUGCGCAGCUAGUGUCGAGGGCUGCCAACUCUAGGCAGCUUUCGCUAAUCGAACGCGAGAUGUUUUCGAAGAACGCUGUUGCCUGAACGGCUGUCAGCAGGCGGCCCCGCGGCGUAGCGGCUGCCUCGGCCCUGACGCCGUGAGCUGCCCCCGCUGGAAAGGUCAGCCUCGCGUUUUUGGAAGAUGGUCAGAAUCAUUUCCAUGACUCAAGUUUCCCUUUUCUUUGUGGGGGGAAAAAAACAAACAAACAAACAAAUGUGAAAACUGCAUCGUAGGAGAAAGACCUCAUCCUAAGGUAAUGUGUUUUUUUUAUUAUUAUUUUUCUAAUAAGGAUUUAGCCAAGGUAGUAAAGCUGAAAAGCUUGAGAAUCACUUGAUUUAAAUUCAGGUCUGCCUGCAGUGAUAAUUUUACCAGUAACACAGAGAAACUAUUUGCCUAGCGCAGACGUGUAUAGACCCCGAGUAUGGGGUGACCUUCUAGAAUGCUACGGUUUUGCUGCACAGUUAGAUUAAUGGCUAAGAGGAAAAUUGAUUACAGGGAACUACAUAAUAGCAUGGGGUCUGUUCAAAGCUAGCUGCAAUGGCUUAUUGUUUUCCAUGUUACUUUACGAUUAAAAAACACCACAGGUUUCAAUAGAUGCACUGGAAUGUAUAGUACUUAAUUUUCAAAAUUGUAUGUUUUGUUCGUUUCCUCAGUUCUUAAGUAACAGAGAUUUGUCUUUAUGUACUUAUUGUGCAAUUAUCUUUGCUUAAUUACUUUUGCAAUUAUAUGCUUUCUCUUACUUUCUUGUAGCCUUGUCAGAAUCUAUGCAAAAAAAAAAAAA